CCAGCAGCUGCGGUAAUUCCAGCUCUAAUAGCGUAUAUUAAAGUUGUUGCAGUUAAAAAGCUCGUAGUCGGAUGUCGGGCUCGGGCAGGCUGUCGGCUUCGGUCGGACGGCAGGCUCGGGUCUUUCUGCCUGAGGAACCCGUGGCACUUAACUGUGCGGCGUGGGGACGCGGGCCGUUUACUUUGAAAAAAUUAGAGUGUUCAAAGCAGGCCUACGCUUGAAUACAUUAGCAUGGAAUAAUGGAAUAGGACUUUGGUGUUAUUUUGUUGGUUUAUGGGACCGAAGUAAUGAUUAACAGGGACAGUUGGGGGCAUUAGUAUUUAAUUGUCAGAGGUGAAAUUCUUGGAUUUAUUAAAGACUAACUUAUGCGAAAGCAUUUGCCAAGGAUGUUUUCA
rnacentral:rRNA from 1 species